UGGCCCGGAAAAGAAAAGAAAUAUAGGUGGGGGAAAAUUAUCCCCUACACACACCUUCACUAAUACACCCAUGCAUAUUACACUUACAUCCCGAACUUCUAAAUUCUAGCACAUUCGACAUCCGAACUCAUUCUCUAUUUUAUAUUACAACUCAUGCCUUCAUAAAACAUAAAGAAUUAUAUGAAAAUAAAAUACGGGUCUCUACAUCCUACCCUCCUUAAAGAAAUUUCGUCCUCGAAAUUUGAUAACCCACAUCAACUAAUUCAUGCAACAAUUUAGAUAUGUAACAACACACCAGGCAAGAGAACACAACGAAUCUACCACCUCGGAAUCCAGAUUCAAGAAACUUAUAUCAAUCACGACGACGAUAAGUCCAAAUACUUCUUUCUAUUUCAUCUUUUCUCGUUUCAUUUCUUUUGCAAUUUAAAAUUCUCACAUUACAAUAACCUCAUCACAUCCCCAUAUAUCCACUCUUUCCUUUCAAGGCACAACUUUUCAUUUCAACAUUUUCUUCCACGUAGAAUCGUCAUGAGACUAAAAUCAACCACCAAUUCAUACUAGAGUUCUAGUUAAUCAAACGAUAUCAUCAAAUCACAUUCUAACAUCACUUAACAUCAAGGCUAUACGUACCAACUUAAUCUCAUGAAAGUAAUAGAAAGCAUUUUAAUUUCAAAUGUGUUUGACCAUUUUACUUCACUCUCACGUAUUCAUAGAAGACAAAGUGAAGUCACUUAAACAUGCAUGCUUGUCACAACCUCUUUCUCCUCGGUUAAUGAUCUCAGCGGAUCACUCUCGGGAAUUCAUAUUUUUCUUGGAAUCUAAUUGAAGAAUUCUUAUAGUAAUCAUGUAACAAAUCUUCGAGAAGAUAUCUUGAAACAUCUACGUGUAAAACAUCGUGUAUAUAGGGCAGUUCUAGUGACAAAGCUAACUAGAAACUAACAUCUUUAAUACUUCUUAUCAUUCCAAAGAAGCGCUAUUCCGAUACUAGCUGAAAAUUAUAAAAGGUAUAAAACUCGACACUAAAGCAAGUGUCCACCAACUUCCAUUGAAAUCUAAAAUAGAAACACAAAACAUGUCCUCCAAACUAUGGAUCCCUAUCUUGUAAAUCUACAAUACCCCACUCCAGAAAGGUUAACACAUUCUGUCUAAAUGAAAAUUAUCAUUCUUGUUAAGGUUUUCUCUACUAAUACAAGACAAGUCAACUAAGUAGAUUACAGUCAGCUUUUAAAACAAACAUACAUAAGAAGCUACACUAGAUGAGUUAUGCGUCCAAACGAGUCUGUAUGCUACGAAUUCCAUUUCAAAGAUAUACCCCAACCUUUACAAAACCAACAAGAACACAAGCAGGAAGCCCCCUUCUCAAUCGGAGGUGGAGAAUAUUGCAAAUAUACUGUAUGAACAUGUCUAAAAUUUGUUCCCAAUUCUUAUUCUCUAUCCCUAAUAGAGAACCAAAUGCAACCAAUGCAAUAAGAUUAAAGGAUAAUAUGCCUCAAUACUCCAAAAAUGACUCAAAGUGAUUAGAUGCAAGAAUUUCCAAAAAUUGAGAUUUUAACUCAUGACCAUGAGAUACCGUUCUGAUCAUACGUGAGGGAAUAAUGUAUAUUCAGUGAUACACUUAAACCAUUGGGAAGUAAAUUUCUUUUCUUCUUUCUUUUUUUUUUUUGAAUUGAUAGGUCACACAACAAAAAUGAAGUUCAGGUAACCUUUCUACUAGUGAGGGUACUAUGGAAAAGUCGCUCAAUGGAGUAUACAAUGUGCGAAACAGAAAGUUAUAAACGGAGGCAAUAUCCCAUCUUUAUACCAGUCCAUAAUCUUAUGCAUUUAUUCCAAAGAUUCCAAACACAUGCAGAAUUACACUCUACAAUAUUAGGAGUCGAACCUUUAGGAAGUUAAUCCAAUUCCCAUGGCAUGAUGCAAAAUACAGUUCAGUUGUGAUCUUCUUUACCAAAAAUGAAUUAGAUUAAUAAUUUUCAUCAUAUCCCAAUAGGAUUUCAUAACAGAAGAUACAGUUUGAACUUACAACAAAAUUUUAUUUUAUUUUUUAUUCUUUCCUUGGUACGUCAUAAUAAUUGACGGCGUUAUUUUACCGGAUUGCUUCAUGUAUUCACAUUAGAUAAGUAAUUCAACAACAGGAAGCAAAAAGGUUCUUUUUCUUCUUCAUAGCUCAAGAUUAUUAGAAAGUAAGUAUCUCAAAUUUGUUAAGAAUUUCCAAUCUAGUUUUUCGACAACCAUACGAUUUGAUCUCAAAACAAUAUAUACAAGUCAUAUUAUGCAUAACCGUCAUUACAUAUUAACUCUAAACAUGGAGGAGACAGUUCAUUUUUUUUUUUUUUUUGUGGUCAAAACUAACAAACAAUGUUGCCUCAUAUUAUGUCAGCGUGUAAGUCUAAUGUGCUCCCUUCCUCUUAUGCUCCCUCUUCACCUUUUCAGUUCCUAUUAAUCCACCUAAUUAUAACUUUAGCAGCAAACUAGGAUUUAGUCUGUCAAAGCUUAUUGUCCAACUUUUUGUAUCUCUAUAUAUAAAGCGAAUCUUGUAUGGUUCAGAUACUCUUGGAGACAUUUUAGAUUCCCAUAUCCUCCUAACCUAACUACCGAUUCUCGUUACACAGAAAUAGAUAAGUCCCAUCGACACUAAUUGUUUCCAAAACAUUCUACUCCUAUUCUAAUAGAACAUCAACAUCUAGAGCUGCUACACAUAGAGCAAAACAAACGGUUCAAUUCUAGUAACUCCAAAUAUGACAAUCUAUAACAUAUUAUGAUAACAAGUCAAGUCUCUAAAAGUCAUUAACAUCAUCUUUUCCUACCUAUCCAUUUAUAAUUUCACCAAUUUUUUAUAGAACAUGAAAACAAUAUUCACAGUAGACCCAUCAAGCAAUGAUAAGAGGACAUGCAUACUCUUCAUAAUUAUGCUCAAACAAAUUAAUAAGCUAAUUUUUAGAGAGAAGUCAUCAUAGUUAAAUCGUUUACUUCAUAUUAAAAGAAAUCGAGUAGCAUUUUGCUUACUUGUAUCCUAUAUAGCAACAAGGUCCGAAGUGAUAUGUUUUCUUCUUUCUUUUUCUUAAUUUUGCCACUGAAAUCUUCACACCAAAAUAGUCCCAUAUUUCAAAAUAUAAGAUCAACAAGCAAGUAUAAAUCUUUAACUAUAAUGACACAUGAACUAUCGAUAUUCAGUUCCUUCGUAGGGUACGAAUCUUCUCUUCUUCUUUUUUUUUUUAAUCUUGUUUAAGGGCUUCUAUUCUAGAUAUCCAAUCAUAAAGCCGCGGUGGCCAGUCGCACUUCAAAUUGAAUAUCCGGAGAUAGAUUCCCAAAGUCUUAAGAAUGCAUUUCACAUUUCGCCAUAUACAUUCACAUUUAACAACCAACACAUCACUUAGCAUGCACACAUAUCAAUGCAUUGUAAAUUUAAGCUUAUCAUCUUAAAUAGCACAAUAAAAUCGACCAUCACAUUCUGCUCUCCUAUUUCCAUACCAAAUGUUCCUAAAAUAGAACACAUAUGAAAUUCAGGCAAUUUAAAAA